rnacentral:tRNA from 1 species
GCCUGGGUGGCUCAAUCGGUUGAGCGCCCGACUUCAGCUCAGGUCAUGAUCUCACCAUCUGUGAGUUCGAGCCCCACGUCGGGCU